UACGUAGGGGGCGAGCGUUGUCCGGAUUUACUGGGCGUAAAGGGCGCGUAGGCGGCUCGUUAAGUUGGCUGUAAAAGGCUCUGGCUUAACCAGGGUAAGUCGGCCGAAACUGGCGGGCUCGAGGACGGUAGAGGAAGGUGGAAUUCCUGGUGUAGUGGUGAAAUGCGUAGAGAUCAGGAGGAACACCGGUGGCGAAGGCGGCCUUCUGGGCCGUUCCUGACGCUGAAGCGCGAAAGCGUGGGGAGCGAACUGAAUUAGAUACUCAGGUAGUCCACGCUGUAAACGAUGGACGCUAGGUGUGGGGGGUAUCGACCCCUCCCGUGCCGAAGCUAACGCAUUAAGCGUCCCGCCUGGGGAGUACGGCCGCAAGGCUAAAACUCAAAGGAAUUGGCGGGGGAGC
rnacentral:rRNA from 1 species